CAGGCAAAACAUCACCUUCAAUCUGAGAAAAGGACCAAGCCCGGACAAGCCAGUUUACAUCCCAGUUGAUGGUGAUGGAAGCGACAAGGUUGCCAAUUUCAUCUACAGUGACAACAAGCAAUGCACUGUUUUGGAAAUACCAUACAAGAACGAGCUACAGUGCAUCCUAUGGGUGAACCCAAAAAUCGUGAAGGAUGUACCUCAACAUUGCCUGGACUAUUAUGAGGACAACUGCGACAUGCCGAAUCCGGCUUACGAUGACGAAACCUGUGGUCCUCUGAUAGCCAAGCUAUAGUAUGGCUUGUAC
rnacentral:lncRNA from 1 species